CCUACGGGUGGCAGCAGUAGGGAAUUUUCGUCAAUGGGCGCAAGCCUGAACGAGCAAUGCCGCGUGAACGAGGAAGGUCUUCGGAUCGUAAAGUUCUGUUGAAGGGGAAAAAGAGCGGAGAGAGGAAAUGCUUUCGGAUUGAUAUUACCCUUCGAGGAAGUCACGGCUAACUACGUGCCAGCAGCCGCGGUAAUACGUAGGUGGCGAGCGUUAUCCGGACUGAGUGGGCGUAAAGGGUGCGUAGGCGGCCUGCUAAGUCUGGCGUGCAAGGUACCGGCUCACCCGGUACAGGCUCUGGAAACUGGCGGGCUAGUGAGCAGGAGAGGGCGGUGGAACUCCAUGUGUAGCGGUAAAAUGCGUAGAUAUAUGGAAGAACACCAGUGGCGAAGGCGGCCGCCUGGCCUGUGACUGACGCUGAGGCACGAAAGCGUGGGGAGCAAAUAGGAUUAGAUACCCUGGUAGUC
rnacentral:rRNA from 1 species